AGUGAACGCUGGCGGUAGGCCUAACACAUGCAAGUCGAACGGCAGCACAGUAAGAGCUUGCUCUUACGGGUGGCGAGUGGCGGACGGUUGAGGAAUACAUCGGAAUCUACUUUUUCGUGGGGGAUAACGUAGGGAAACUUACGCUAAUACCGCAUACGACCUACGGGUGAAAGCAGGGGAUCUUCGGACCUUGCGCGAUUGAAUGAGCCGAUGUCGGAUUAGCUAGUUGGCGGGGUAAAGGCGCACCAAGGCGACGAUCCGUAGCUGGUCUGAGAGGAUGAUCAGCCACACUGGAACUGAGACACGGUCCAGACUCCUACGGGAGGCAGCAGUGGGGAAUAUUGGACAAGGGGCGAAAGCCUGAUCCAGCCAUACCGCGUGGGUGAAGAAGGCCUUCGGGUUGUAAAGCCCUUUUGUUGGGAAAGAAAAGCAGCAGGUUAAUACCCCGCUGUUCUGACGGUACCCAAAAAAUAAGCACCAGCUAACUUCGUG
rnacentral:rRNA from 1 species